GACGAACGCUGGCGGCGCGCCUAACACAUGCAAGUCGAACGGAGCGGAGAGAAGCUUGCGUUGCUUAGCUUAGUGGAGCACGGGUGAGUAACGCGAGAGUAACGUGCUCUGGAGUGGGGGACAACAGUGGGAAACGAGCGCUAAUACCGCAUAAGCUCACGAUCCGGCAUCGGGGUGAGGGAAAUGGGUCUAUUCGCUAUAGGAUGGAGUCGCGUCCAAUUAUCUAGUGGGUGAGGUAACGGCACAGCAAGGCGAGGAAGGGUAGCCGGGCGGGGAGGCGGACCCGCCACAAUUGGACUGCGACACAGCCCAGACCCGUACGCGAGGGAGCAGUGGGGGAUAUAGCGGGCUGGGGGCAACUCUGACGAAGCGACGCCGGGUAGAGGAGGAAGCUUUUCGGAUAGUACUUUCCUGUCGUAAGAGGCGUUAGUGACGGUACCUGAUAAAGAAGCACCGGCUAACUACGUG
rnacentral:rRNA from 1 species